rnacentral:snoRNA from 1 species
AAAGCAGGCUGCAAUUACAGUGCUUCAUUCUGUGGGAGUACUGCCAUGUCCCUGCUGAGAGUAACUCUGUUGGUGCUGUCUUUGGUUUCACCUGUACGGUGGUGAAACCAUUUGUUCUUAACGUGUACAAGU